UACGAAGGGGGCUAGCGUUGUUCGGAAUUACUGGGCGUAAAGCGCACGCAGGCGGAUUGAUAAGUCAGGGGUGAAAUCCCGGGGCUCAACCUCGGAAUUGCCUUUGAUACUGUCUGUUUUGAGACCGGGAGAGGUGAGUGGAAUUCCUAGUGUAGAGGUGAAAUUCGUAGAUAUUAGGAAGAACACCAGUGGCGAAGGCGGAUCACGGGCCCGGUACUGACUUUCAUGUGCGAAAGCGUGGGGAGCAAACAGG
rnacentral:rRNA from 1 species